ACUGAAUGCAUCUAAGUGAGAAACUGACUUCAAGAUAAGUUUUCCUAGAAAUGUGCAAGAUAAGCACGUCGAUAGACUUUGUGUGGAAGAGUAGCAAUACUUGGAGCAAAAAAGUACUAAUAAU
rnacentral:rRNA from 1 species